UAUGGAUAAUUGCGCAUUCUAUUUGAAUGUGAGUAAAGUCCAUGCUCACACAAGCUGAGAAGCUUGUAGUGUUCAUGCGUGUCCAAACAAUAAGACACGGACUUUUAUGAAAAUAAAAGAAACGGCAGUUAAACGAGCUAAGGUAUUGCUAUGCUCAAGUAGACUUGAAAGUGCCACAGUGACGAAGCAACAAUGGAAACGUUGUUGGUGGAACGGGUAAACCCCAUGAGUGAGCAACCCAAACUACGGUAGGGGCACUCUUUUCACAGAAAUGAAUGUAGAAAAGAGGCAGCUAUUAUGAAUAGUUGCAGACAGAUAAUUAUCUCUGGAAAGAUUGCCUAAGAUCUUUCCUAGACAGAACAUGGCUUACA
rnacentral:RNase_P_RNA from 1 species